UCACAAGUCACUUCCUUGUUCCUCUGACUGAUUCUCUCUGCCUGCCUCUCCUCAGACUGACGAUGGCUGAAGCCCAGCUGUUUGUGUCACAGGACGAGUUCACCUGCUCGGUGUGUCUGGACACCCUGACUGACCCCGUCACCAUCCCCUGUGGACAUAAUUUCUGUCUGAAGUGCCUCACGGACUGCUGGGAUCAGAGCCAAGUGUGCAGCUGUCCUCAAUGCAGAGAAAACUUCACCACGAGGCCUGCUCUGCGAAGAAAUUAUCUGCUGAAUGAAGUCAUCAAGAAAUUAAAGAAUUCAACAAUUAGUCCUCCUCUUCCUCCUACUCCUCCAUCUGAGAAUUAUGCUGGCCCUGGAGACGUGGAGUGUGACUUCUGUACUGGUAAGAAGUUCAGAGCUGUGAAGUCCUGUCUCACCUGCAUGGCCUCCUACUGUCAGACUCACCUGCAGCCUCAUUAUGAAGGAGACGUCCUGAAGCACCACAAGCUGGUUGAUCCUGAUAGAAAUCUGAAGGAGAAACUCUGUGAGAAACAUCAGAAAAGUCUGGAGAUGUUUUGCAAAACUGAUCAGAUGUGUAUUUGCAUGAAGUGUGGAGUGACUGAACAUAACGGGCAUAAAAUGGUUGAGCUGGAGACGGAAAGAGAAGAAAAGCAGAGACAGCUGGGGGCGACACUGAGUGACAUCAAGAGGAGACUUCUGAAGAGAGAGAAGACACUGAAGGAGACAAGGAGGACGAUUGACGAGAUGAAGAUGUCUGUGAUAAGAGAGUUGGAAGAAAAUGAGAAGAGCUUCAAUGCUCUGAUACGGUGCAUUGAGGAAGCCCACAGGAAAUUGACUGAGAGGAUCAGAGAACAAGAAAAGAGAGAAAUGGAGAAGGCUGAAGGAGUCAUGGAGCAACUGAAGAAGGAGAUUGAAGAGCUGAAGAGGAGAGAAGCUGAGAUGAAGGAGCUUUCAGAGACCAAGGACCAUCUCCACUUCCUGCAGACUUUCUCAUCUCGCUGUGUCCUUCCUGCUGAUGGAGACUCUCUGAGCUUCACUGUCACCUCUGAUUUCUCAUCUGAGGACCUGAGAAAGGAGCUGUCUGGUCUGACAAAGAGUCUAGAGAAGAUCAGCCGGUGGGUCAUCAUGACAAGGACUCCAUCAGCUCAUGAAGCUCCAGUUUUCACCCUCCAGCCUCCUGAACCUCAGAGCAGAGACGACUUUAUAAAAUACUUCUGUCCCCUCACACUGGACAUCAACACGGCACACAGAGCCCUCCGUCUGUCUGAAGGGAACAAGAAGGUGACACGUGAGAGGACAGAGACUAAAUAUCCUGAUCAUCCUGACAGAUUUGACUACUGGGCUCAAGUUCUGUGCAGAGAGGCUCUGACUGGGACUCGCUGUUACUGGGAGGUGAAGUGCAGUGGAGACUUCAUGAGGAUUGGAGUCGCAUAUAAAGGACUGAGAAGGAAAGGAGGGAGCAGGGAGUGCGUCCUUGGAAACAACGAGAAGUCCUGGUGUUUGCAGUGGUAUCAAUCCCAGUACUCUGUGUGUCACAAUAACAAAUGGACUGUAAUCAGCGCCCCCUACAGCCCCAGAAUAGGUGUGUAUCUGGACUGGCCUGCUAGCUCUCUGUCAUUUUAUAGCGUCUCACACACAAUGACCCUCCUGCACAGGUUCAACACCUCCUUCACUGAGCCACUCUAUCCUGGGUUUUAUCUUUAUCUUCACUCCAGUGUAACAAUCAGCCAUCUGACACCAUGUGACCACUGACCAGUACCCUCCACCGGUAACUUGAUGUCCCCACAAACUCAGGUGUCUUUGUGUUUACAGUUUGGGGUCAAAAUUAAUUUUACACUAUAGGUGGGGGGGCAGCACCUCUGUGAGUGAAUUUGUGGAUGAGAAUGAGGGGCGAGUGCGGCUGUCAGGGUCUCCAUUAUUAUUGGGUCUGAGUAGCCAAUCAGGUGUGUGUGUCAUAAUGAGGGGCGGUGACACCUCAGACCUACAAAUACCAGUCUGACCAGCAGGGGUCACUGUUGAUUCACAGCCACAUGUCCUUCAGGCUGACACCCCAACUGCUGUGUCCUCUGAGUGUCACUGAAUGUCACCUGUUAAUCAGUCUAUAUAGCGCCUUUCAGUAGUGCUGCUCCAGCAGGACCACAUGCCUGUCUCAGUAUCCAGAGCCUCAUUCCAGUGACUAUUUAGGAGCACAGAGUGACAGAAGUGACAGGAGUGCUGGCCUGUGAACAGACAUUGUCUGCCCCUCUAUUAGUUACUCUGGUGGUCUGUCACCUCUGAAUGAAUUCACUGUGAAUGUCUAAAGACGAGGACUCACCGCUCAGUCACAUGUCGGCCAUACUGAUGGAGUUUGGUGUUUUACUGAGUCACUUGGUGUCACAUUAGACAUUAAACUGCACCUCCUCCUUGUUGUUCCCACUGUCACCCAACCUCAAGGAGACGAGUCAGCUGAAUGACUUCACCACCACUGUCGGUGUUCAAAGUGACAAUCAGAUGUGACACUUGGGGACACUUUUAUCUUUCCACUGACACACACAUUCCCAGGAUUAAUUUACAAUUCCCUUAGGACCCCACAAGGACCGGCGUAUCACCUGACAUCAGUGUGUGUGAAGAAGCCAAUGAAGGCCCAGGCUGACAGCCCCCCCACUGUGUAUUACAGGCCGCACCAGCAGAUGGCGACUAUGACUUCUAAAUCUGUCAUCUUCAUGGAGUCUGAGGGGUUAAAAGGAAGAGGAGAAGGUGAAUAAAGAGUGAGGGGUGAGGAUGAUAGAGAAGAGCAUCAGGGUGAUAAAGGGUGAGAUGAGUGACCUGAGACAGAGUGAGUCAGACGAGUGUGUCACUUGUGUGUUUGUCAGUUUUGUUCCUCCCUCCUAAUUUUCUCCUCUUUGACUCGUCACACAGUGAUGGCCAUCCUGUGAUCACAGAUUGUAUUUGUCGUUGAUCAAAUCCGUAUCUCGAUGUGUGACUGACGUCUGAUUCUUUAAGUACUCGCUCAUCAGACAGGUUGUCACCCGAUGAGCUCUUCACUGCUGACCUAAGCCCUGCUGCCCUCUUCUCUCUCCUGUCACCUCGGCCAUUGCUUCAGUCCCCGCUGUGUCACCUCAUAAAGCCACUGGUCUGUCUGGUCACUCAGGUCCUCAUCACAGCUGCACACUGGCAGUCAUUCAAACUCUACAGGCUGACAGCCAUGUUGUCCUGUCGUCUGAUGUUUGUGUUGGUUGAGGUCGUCUCCUGCUGACCUUGGGGGCUUUUAGAGCUCAGGAUUAAUGAAAUGGAAAUGUCAGUCAGCAGGGUGGGCAGGUGGGCACAUUCAGGGCAUAAUGUCACUUAAAAGUCGAUGAGCACACUGGACACAUCGCCAGUCACUGAUAAUCGACUCCACGUCAGCUCCUGUGGCCCUCAUCAUGUGCUGUCAACUCAGACGCUGGUCAUGUGACUUGCACCUUAGUGACAUUGCUGUGACUUUCAGGGCUGUGACAUCAGCUGAUUCUUCUGGAGCCAAACUGCUCCCUCUUGUGGCCACUCUACAUAUUAAACACACGAGAAGUUAGGAUGUGAAGUGUUUGGUGAGAUCUAAAAAAUAUUCAGAAUAUUGACAUCACCUUGAAGGACAGUUUGGUUUAAUAAUAAUUAAUUUGUAAAAGAAUACUUAUUUUAAAUUAAUGUUUAGUUAAUUAUAAUUAGGUGUUACAUUCACAGAGAUAAAUGGCCUGUUAAUGCUUCACAGUUUGUAAAAUUUGAAUUGCUUAUUAAUCUAAAAA